UACGUAGGGUGCAAACGUUGCUCGGAAUUAUUGGGCGUAAAGCGCACGUAGGCGGCUUAGUAAGUUGGAUGUGAAAUCCCUCGGCUUAACCAAGGAAGUGCAUCCAAAACUACUGAGCUUGAGUACUAAAGAGGAUCGCGGAAUUCCCGGUGUAGAGGUGAAAUUCGUAGAUAUCGGGAGGAACACCAGUGGCGAAGGCGGCGAUCUGGGUAGAUACUGACGCUGAGGUGCGAAAGCGUGGGGAGCAAACAGG
rnacentral:rRNA from 1 species